UACAGGGGGUGCAAACGUUGCUCGGAAUCAUUGGGCGUAAAGCGCACGUAGGCGGUCUGUUAAGUCUGAUGUGAAAGCCCACGGCUCAACCGUGGAGGGUCAUUGGAAACUGGGGGACUUGAGUGCAGGAGAGAAGAGUGGAAUUCCACGUGUAGCGGUGAAAUGCGUAGAGAUGUGGAGGAACACCAGUGGCGAAGGCGACUCUUUGGCCUGUAACUGACGCUGAGGCGCGAAAGCGUGGGGAGCAAACAGG
rnacentral:rRNA from 1 species